CGUGGUGAGUAACGCGUGAGGAACCUGCCUUCCAGGGGGGACAACAGUUGGAAACGACUGCUAAUACCGCAUGAAACAUUUGAACCGCAUGGUUUGAAUGUCAAAGAUUUAUCGCUGGAAGAUGGCCUCGCGUCUGAUUAGCUAGUAGGCGGGGUAACGGCCCACCUAGGCGACGAUCAGUAGCCGGACUGAGAGGUUGACCGGCCACAUUGGGACUGAGAUACGGCCCAGACUCCUACGGGAGGCAGCAG
rnacentral:rRNA from 1 species